UACGGGGGGGGCAAGCGUUGUUCGGAAUUACUGGGCGUAAAGGGCGCGUAGGCGGCCUGCUAAGUCGGACGUGAAAUCCCCCGGCUCAACCGGGGAACUGCGUCCGAUACUGGUGGGCUCGAAUCCGGGAGAGGGAUGUGGAAUUCCAGGUGUAGCGGUGAAAUGCGUAGAUAUCUGGAAGAACACCAGUGGCGAAGGCGGCUCGCUGGGCCGAUGCUGACGCUGAGGCGCGAAAGCGUGGGGAGCAAACAGG
rnacentral:rRNA from 1 species